rnacentral:rRNA from 1 species
UACUCCUACGGGAGGCAGCAGUGGGGAAUCGUAGACAAUGGGCGCAAGCCUGAUCUAGCCAUGCCGCGUGAGCGAUGAAGGCCUUAGGGUUGUAAAGCUCUUUCAGUGGGGAAGAUAAUGACUGUACCCACAGAAGAAGCCCCGGCUAACUCCGUGCCAGCAGC